UGUUCCCUACGGGGGGCAGCAGUGGGGAGUUUUGGACAAUGGGCGCAAGCCUGAUCCAGCUAUUCCGCGUGUGGGAUGAAGGCCCUCGGGUUGUAAACCACUUUUGUAGAGAACGAAAAGACACCUUCGAAUAAAGGGUGUUGCUGACGGUACUCUAAGAAUAAGCACCGGCUAACUACGUGCCAGCAGCCGCGGUAAUACGUAGGGUGCGAGCGUUGUCCGGAUUUAUUGGGCGUAAAGCGAGUGCAGGCGGUUCAAUAAGUCUGGUG
rnacentral:rRNA from 1 species